GUCAACUACCUCUCCCUGAAGGGAGAGGCUUGUGACAACAAGCCCGGUUGACCAGGGAGAGCGGUAGCCAACCCGCUACGUUGAUAACAGGUCGUUAAAACUCACCGGCAAGUGCUUCCUCAGCUUGCCGCUCUGAA
rnacentral:sRNA from 15 species